rnacentral:lncRNA from 1 species
GGGAGCAGGGAGAUCCCAAUCCCAAGGGAUUUCAGGGAUUUCCCAAUCCCAAAAGAAAUGGGAGCAGGAUUUCAGGGAUUUCCCAAUCCCAAAGGAAACAGGAGCCAAAUCCCAAAGAGAAUGGCACCAGGGAGAUCCCAAACCCACGGGAUUUCAGGGAGAUCCCAAUCCCAAAAGAAAUGAGAGCACGGAUUUCAGGGAUAGCCCAAUCCCAAGGGAUUCCAGGGAGAUCCCAAAGGAUUUCAGGGAUAGCCCAAUCCCAAAGGAAAUGGCACCAGGGAUACCCCAAUCCCAAAGGAUUUCAGGGAGAUCCCAAUCCCAAAGGAAAUGGCAUCAGGGAGAUCCCAAUCCCAAGGGAUUCCAGGGAUAUCCCAAUCCCAAGGGAUUCCAGGGAGAUCCCAAUCCCAAGGGAUUCCAGGGAGAUCCCAAAGGAUUUCAGGGAUACCCCAAUCCCAAGGGAUUCCAGGGAUAUCCCAAGGGAUUCCAGGGCUAUCCCAAUCCCAAGG